rnacentral:misc_RNA from 1 species
CGACAGCUCCCGAAAAGCUCCGCGAGUGUGCACGCGUGUCUGUGUCCGUGUGCGUGUGCCCUGUGACCUUCAUACGCAUUACCAUCACCUCUUCUUACACGGCCAGCCCUCACCUUCUUUGCUUGUGUGCUCUACUCGCCCUAAACCCCUUGUAGAGCUCACUGAGCGCCGUUUAUUCAUCGUUCACGGGGACUAGCGGUGCUGCACAGUUGGGACCGCGUGCAGGCCUGCGAACGCCUCCACGCUCCUCCUUCUCCCAGCUCCGCGACAUCGAUCUGCCGGCUUCCUCACCCGACGGUGCCGCGGUACUAGUGACGGCGUCCGCUUGCUCGUACCCUAAAAAGUGUGUGCGUGUGGAGGAAGGCCCUGCCCCGCCUCUGGAGGGAACAAGGCGCAUCAAGGGCGAGGGACGCUUUCGUUCACAAUCUCUUGCCCUGCAUGUGUGUAUGUUUCGGUGUGUCUGUGCGCUACCCUAGCUACGCAGUUGUUGUUCAUCUCUGUUUCGUCUCCACGUCGUGCUUGUGCAUUUUUAUUCUCCUUGUGGAACUGUCUUGUUGCUUGGCGCUGCGUAAAGGGGACGAAUAAGGCUAAGGGCGGUAGGAGUGCGAAGGGAACGUAGGUGUGUGAGUGUGUGUGGAGCCACAGCGACAAGCGCCUGAGGCGACACCCCCUCUUCUCCGCUCUUUCUCGCCGCCCUUUGCUUUCUCUUUGACUGUUUCUCCGUUUUUCCCUAUUCGUGCACGGCGUGCCCGUGUGUGUGCCUGUGCCUGUGACACCAUCUGUGCAUCAGCGUGUGCUAGUCGGUGCGUGGGCCCGUCGGUAGCUCCUUGUUCCUCAGCGGAAGGAGGCUUUCGCGCGCGCUUUCUUUCGGCCUGUUCUUCUCCCCCCCUCCCCCACCAGCACACAGCCUCCUCCUUCGUUUUCUUUGGCGCUCUGUGCUGGUGCCUCCCCAUCCCGCUAUCACUCUCUCUCCAUUCCUUCACCAUGACGGCGGUAGCAGCCACGACAAGCAUCACGACGACGCGGGCGUUGGACGAAUUCCGCAGCGGUAAUGUGGAUACGGCGCAGCUCAUACUAGAAGAGGCGGCCAAGUCCGAGCAUAAUGUGAAUGAGCUGCUGUCAAUCCACUGCCUGCGCGCCACCUUGGCUGCGAUGAAGGGCAGCAUGGACGUCACGGCCAUCACUGCGCAGCUCGCUCCCGGCGAGCCGGUGCGGGUGCCGGUGCAGAGCUACUUAGAAGGCAUUGCCGCCAUGGCGCGCGGCGAUCUGACCACGGCACGAAGGCGGCUGGAGACGGCAGUGGAGCGGUGCGAGGGCUUUGGCGCCGCCAUGGUGUGUCUCGCCGCCGUGUACUACCUCACUAGCCAAUAUGAGAAGAGCUACGCGCAGUACUGCUACACGUUGAAGAUGUUCGGCUCCGAGAAGACGCCGCCGGUGGUGCGGGUAGGAAUGGGCCUGUGCGCCUUCCGGCUGCAGCGACUCGUGGAUGCCCGGCGCAUCCUUGAGCGCGCCAUCGAGGUGCAGCCGGAUGAUGAGCUCGCGUGGCUGGGCCUGCUGGCCGUCUACAUUAACCUUCGCAUGCUGCCACAGAUCCACACGGCCGUGAUGCGUCUCAAGCAGUUGAUGCCUCAGAACACGACGGUGCUGCUGAAAGUGUGCGACUUAGUCUACUUCCGCUCCUUGGAGGACGGGCGGCUGAAGAGCUCCAUGGGGCGGCUGCGUAGUCUGCUGCGGUAUGUGCGGCAGACGGCCUCGCCUGAGGAAAUGGCACUGGUCGACUUCCACGAGGGCCGGCUGCUGCUCGCCUGUGGCGAGGUGGCGGCGGCGCAGCCGCUCCUAGAAUCCGCUGUGCGUGCGAACCCGAACCUCCUAGCCGCCCGUAUCCACUACGCCCGACUACUGAUGCACUCCAACCGCCACGCCGACGCGGAGACGCUGCUGACGGAGGUGAACAGGACAUGGCCCAACGAGAAGGAGGUGCUACAGAUGCUCGCCAUUCUUGCCACACGGGCUGGCCGACACAGCGAGGCCCUUCGCUACAGUCACACACUAACUAUGACGGUGGCGCAGGGCGACGUGAACUCGUGGGCGUUGGCCGCCGUAUGUUCCCGUCUAGACACCGAGCACUGCAGGCGGAUCUGCGCGCACGUGCGUGCCGUUCAGCGGGAGCUGAAACUGCCCUCUAGCUGGAAGCUGAGCGCCAACCUCGCCAUCCUGUCAGGAGAUGUGGAGGCGGUGCAAGGCAUCGUGGACGCGGAGCUAGGGGCGGCCUUUCUCAUGUCCAACACCGCAGUGGACGUUUCCUAUGUGCCGCUGUUGUACAACCUGGCCCUUCUGCUUGAGAAGCGGGAGCUGGCGCGCGCACGUCAACUUUACGUGUACCUCGUCAAGCACCACAGCACCUUUGCUGCACCCUACUACCGCCUGCAUUUCCUGGCGAAGGAGGCAGGCCAGCUGCAGCAGGCCAUGGCGUGGCUCCAGUGGCUGCUGAAGGUGCACCCGAUGGAGGCCGCGGCCCAGACGUGCAUGGCGCAGCUGUACAUGGAGACGUCAAGCGCGAAGGAGGCGCUGGCUAUCUUUAAGAAGGUUAACGCCUCCGAGCUGCAGCUUCCUGUUGCACUGGCCGUCGGUGCCACCUCUCUGCAGGCGUGCCAGCAAUCGUCCUCGCAGUGGCCGAAGCUGCUCGCCUCGGCGCGCUCCUUUUACCGGGAGGCCCUCGCCAAGGACCCACGCAACAUUCUCGCAGCUCACGGCUACGCGUGUUGCGACGGGCUGGAGCGGCGCGGCGACGCCGCUGAAGCGAUGCUGAACAGCGUGAGUGAGGUGACCCCGCUCUCCACCGUGCCGACAAGCAACGUCGACGCGCACCGCGCCAACGUGAAGAUGCUCAGCCACGGCUACAAGCAGGCCGCGGACUACUUUUCGCGCAUGCCGACGCGCACAUCGGAGCAGGACGCGAUGUACUCGUACUGCGUGGCUACCGAGGGGCGGUACGCGGAGGCCCUAGAGUUGAUCCACGCCGCCUCCAUCAAGGCACCAGGUGAGGAUCCGAUGCUGGUGUACAAUACAGCCCUGCUGCACUUCAUGGCCUUCGUUGACGGGCUGAAAGGCACCCGCGCCCUUACGGCGGCGCAGGGUGAGUCGCUUCUCUCCCACCUCGAGGCCGGGCAGCAGGGCACCACUUCCCUGGAUGGCAUCAAGGGCAAGUACGAGUUGAUGAGUCGCGCCAAGCGCUACCUUCGAUCCAUCAGCGCCUACUGCGAGCGCCACCGUGCCACCGUGCACACGCUUGUGGAGGCUGGAGAGCAGCGGGCGAAGGAGCUGGCGCAGUCGGCGGAGGGAUGGCGGCGCGUUUUCGCGUCGCACAAGGGGGAGCAGGAGCGCCGACAAGAGGAAGAGGAAUUGGCGGAGCACCAGAAGGCGGAGGAGCGCAAGCUGGCGGAGGCAGACGUGUAUGCACGCUUUCGCCAAAGCCGAAUUCAGCAACCGGCGGUGCUGCUGAACGCAGAUUUGCUUGCAGCGACGAUGGCGGAUGCCUUGCAGGACACGAUGCCGGUAGACAAACCGCCAGCGGCGCUGGGGGAAGAGGAGUAUGGGAUGCCGUAAUCCACUCCUGCUUCCAUUCCUGCGGUUCAUUUUUCUUGUUCCCUGGUUUGCAGUGCAUCACUGCCCUGUUGUCGGUGAGCUGGUUUGUUGUCUUCUACGUGUGCGUAUGUGCGUAAACGCUGCGCUUCUACACGUCAUCUGUUGCGGCGGCCGGCGACAAUCGAGAGUGCGUUGUGGCUUCCACGUCAUGGGCCCCUCGUUGAUCGGGCGCUGGGCAGCCGCUUUGUGCUGGUGCACGUUAGCUGGGGCGGCGCUGUCCACCGUGACGCAGGUGAGUGCCUACACCGCAGCGAGAGGAGGGGGCGAGGAUGGAAACGAAAGGGAGGGCCGCUCGUCCUACAGCUGCGGAGUGGGGGGGGACCGGGUGCCCUGCGCACGAUUGCAGGUGCGAAAGGAAGCGAUGGUGCACCAUGCGCUGUGGUUCACUUCUGUGGUGCCUUUUUUUGUCUUGAGCGUGCGCGUGUGUGUCUUCGUUGUUGACGUCUGCGUGUGCACGUGCGUACUUGCGUGUGCCUCUCUUCCUCUUUCAUGGUAUAGUGGGAGUUCUUCUUUACGUUCUUCUAACCGCGAUGAGGGAUCAACUCCCAAUCAAUUUGUGGCUGCCCGCUUGUCGUUCUUACCUGAAGGAGUAUGGGCGCGUGCGUGUGUUGGUGCUUCCAUACGACCCCGCCUCCCCUUCCCCAGGGAGGUACUCUACGCACAAGAGGUGUACGCAUCCGUCUCUCGUUUUAUGCGCUAACUCUCACGUAUGUAAUCCUUCCCCAUCCCUUCAUCCGUGGUUUGACGCGAGCCCGCUGCCGUUCGCAGGUGGACGCCUAGUGGCGUGGCUUCAGUGCCAAUGCGUCUCUUCCGAAGCCUGGAAGCUCUAUGCCGUGCACCGCCAUCUCUUCCUUGGCCAACACGCGCAGAACGAUGAAGCCGUGGCGCUCCGCGGAGGGGCUCCUUUCCCUGCUCUCUUUCGGUUUGUUGCCUCUCUGAUGUGUGCACACACGCGCUCCCAAGACCCAUGCCUGACAACGCCGGUCAGCGCUGCUCACAUGCCAGGAAGUUGUACCUCUAUUUCCUUCUCCAUCUCCCUCACGCACGUGUGUCCCCCCCACUCCCCCCUCCCCACACACACGUCUAUGCCCUUUUCCAG